rnacentral:rRNA from 1 species
GACGAACGCUGGCGGCGUGCUUAACACAUGCAAGUCGAACGGAAAGGCCCUUCGGGGUACUCGAGUGGCGAACGGGUGAGUAACACGUGGGUGAUCUGCCCUGCACUUUGGGAUAAGCCUGGGAAACUGGGUCUAAUACCGAAUAGGACCACGCGCUUCAUGGUGUGUGGUGGAAAGCUUUUGCGGUGUGGGAUGGGCCCGCGGCCUAUCAGCUUGUUGGUGGGGUAAUGGCCUACCAAGGCGACGACGGGUAGCCGGCCUGAGAGGGUGACCGGCCACACUGGGACUGAGAUACGGCCCAGACUCCUACGGGAGGCAGCAGUGGGGAAUAUUGCACAAUGGGCGCAAGCCUGAUGCAGCGACGCCGCGUGAGGGAUGACGGCCUUCGGGUUGUAAACCUCUUUCAAUAGGGACGAAGCGCAAGUGACGGUACCUAUAGAAGAAGCACCGGCCAACUACGUGCCAGCAGCCGCGGUAAUACGUAGGGUGCGAGCGUUGUCCGGAAUUACUGGGCAUAAAGAGCUCGUAGGUGGUUUGUCGCGUUGUUCGUGAAAACUCACAGCUUAACUGUGGGCGUGCGGGCGAUACGGGCAGACUAGAGUACUGCAGGGGAGACUGGAAUUCCUGGUGUAGCGGUGGAAUGCGCAGAUAUCAGGAGGAACACCGGUGGCGAAGGCGGGUCUCUGGGCAGUAACUGACGCUGAGGAGCGAAAGCGUGGGGAGCGAACAGGAUUAGAUACCCUGGUAGUCCACGCCGUAAACGGUGGGUACUAGGUGUGGGUUCCUUCCUUGGGAUCCGUGCCGUAGCUAACGCAUUAAGUACCCCGCCUGGGGAGUACGGCCGCAAGGCUAAAACUCAAAGGAAUUGACGGGGGCCCGCACAAGCGGCGGAGCAUGUGGAUUAAUUCGAUGCAACGCGAAGAACCUUACCUGGGUUUGACAUGCACAGGACGCCGGCAGAGAUGUCGGUUCCCUUGUGGCCUGUGUGCAGGUGGUGCAUGGCUGUCGUCAGCUCGUGUCGUGAGAUGUUGGGUUAAGUCCCGCAACGAGCGCAACCCUUGUCCUAUGUUGCCAGCGGGUUAUGCCGGGGACUCGUAGGAGACUGCCGGGGUCAACUCGGAGGAAGGUGGGGAUGACGUCAAGUCAUCAUGCCCCUUAUGUCCAGGGCUUCACACAUGCUACAAUGGCCGGUACAAAGGGCUGCGAUGCCGUGAGGUGGAGCGAAUCCUUUCAAAGCCGGUCUCAGUUCGGAUCGGGGUCUGCAACUCGACCCCGUGAAGUCGGAGUCGCUAGUAAUCGCAGAUCAGCAACGCUGCGGUGAAUACGUUCCCGGGCCU